GGGGAAACACUUAGAACCCCGUGAGCGUUGUGUUAAUAGUCGUGCUUUUGGCCGAGUGCGACGGUUAGUGAAUC
ncrna:unclassified sequences L13-Bacteroidia ribosomal protein leader